rnacentral:rRNA from 1 species
UACGAAGGGGGCUAGCGUUGCUCGGAAUUACUGGGCGUAAAGCGCACGUAGGCGGGAUCUUUAAGUCAGGGGUGAAAUCCUGGAGCUCAACUCCAGAACUGCCUUUGAUACUGAGGACCUUGGAGUUCGGGAGAGGUGAGUGGAAACUGCGAGUGUAGAGGUGAAAUUCGUAGAUAUUCGCAAGAACACCAGUGGCGAAGGCGGCUCACUGGCCCGAUACUGACGCUGAGGUGCGGAAAGCG